CGUCAAUUGUCAACUGUCAAAUUAUUGUCAAACCAAAAUUGAUAUUUAUUUUGUAUUGAGUUCGUAAUUCGUAUACUGUGAGACCAGUAUGUGACUAUUUACUUGUGUUUUUAUACGUACAAAUAACUUUUAAUACUUUUGCAAAUCUAAAAUCUGUGAUAAAAAUGGAGGAGCAGAAUAAACUGCCGCUAAAGAGAGUAGAGCUUUCAUUAACAAAAUUUAACGAAGUCGCAAUACCGCAUCACUUGGACUUGCUUAGACAACACAAGGCCAAUAUUAUCAAAUAUGAAGAAAAUGGUGAGUACCCUCGCGUCCGCUCGGAGCAGGUGCACGCUCGUCGCGUCGCGUCGCAGCUGCGAGUGUUGCUCGCCGAGCUGGAGACGCUGCGGCGGCAGGUGAGGCCUGAGGACCUGACCAAGUUCGACAAGCUCACGCAGCGAUCCAGGGACCUCACGCUUAGAGCGAUUAUGGAUUAUUUGGGUAUAAUUGAGAGCAGUUGUAGGGCGAUUGUGGCACGGGGCGCGAGCCCUCGUCGCAGCGACACUUCCCCUCUUUCUAUAAAUCGUCGUCCGCCCGAGCAGACGGUGGCGGGGAGCACGAUGUCCACCGACUCCGUGGGCAUCAUAUCCAGGGGUGAUGAUGUACAGGAGUUGGAGUCGCCUUUAAUACAGCUUCAGGUGAACGAGCAAGAAGUGGCGCUGCGCGAGCGUGAGGCGGUUCUGCGCGGGUGGAGCGAGCUGCAGUCCGAAGUGCGCGCCCUGCACGAGGCGUGGCAGACCGUGCAGGCCGCCGCACUCGCUGAUAGAGAACGGGUAGCUACAGUGUCAACUAAUGUGGAGGUUGCCGCGGAAAAUGUUGAAGUUGCUCGCACUCACCUAUCUGCUGCGGAAAGGUUGAAGGCGGGCGCGAUGGGUGCGGGCGGCGCGGUGCUGGGCGCCGCGCUGUGCGGCCCGGCGGGGCUCGUGCUCGGCGCCAAGGCCGGCGCCGCCGCCGCGCUCGCGGGCUCCCUCCUGGGGUACCUGGGGGCGCGCCUCGUCGGCAACAGGAGGCGCGCUGUGCUGGACCACGCUGGCGAUAAGGAGCUCAGGGUGGACAAGGACGAGAAAAAAUCACAAUAGCGACACGCUUGCGUCUGUUUCUAGACGCAUUGGCAAUUUAGGAUAUAGCGGGUAUCUGUAUUGGGGGCCUUGAAGUUGUGAAUGAAGGACAUUCGAGUUUGGUUCUAAUACAAUAUUGUCAACAUAUUGCUUUUUUUAUGUAUCUUGCGAAAGAUUGUCUUGGAAUUAAGAGUAGGUAGCUGAUUAUGUAUUUAAAUUUAUUUAUUAGCCUGUUGUCAAUAUGUGUGCUGGUUAUUAGAAUAUUUAUUACCACAUAUAUAAAAUAAUGUAACCGUGACAUAGUCGAGUAAUUAUGCGUUUUGCUUGUGAUAUCCUCAUUAUAUUUGACUAGUGCAAUAAAUAUAACUAAAGGCGUAUGUAUAUGACGUUUUUAUUAAGAGAUGUAUUUUCAAUGCUAUGUUCGUAAAGUUACAUAGUUCCCAACUGCAUCGUGUUUCAUGCAGCGUUGAUUGCGUUAGAGGAACCCUUUAGCUCUUUAAAAAACACGCCAUGUGUAUAUCCUUUAAAGUCAUAAGGGUAGCUAUAGAAACUCUAACUAAUAAUAUAUCGACUAUGAAAUACGUAUACAUUAUUAUCUGUAUCUAAAUUUGCUAUACGUCAAUGUAAAUAUAAUUGCAUUGAGUGUAACUCCUGUAACAUUAUAUUUAAUAAA
rnacentral:misc_RNA from 1 species